GAUGAAGAACGUAGCGAAAUGCGAUACUUGGUGUGAAUUGCAGAAUCCGGUGAACCAUCGAGUCUUUGAACGCAAGUUGCGCCCGAAGCCAUCAGGUUGAGGGCACGUCUGCCUGGGCGUCACAUAUCGUUGCCCAAUGCCUAUUGCAGUGCAAUAGGAAUUUCUAGGGCGAAUGAUGGCUUCCCGUGAGCGUUGUUGCCUCGCGGUUGGUUGAAAAUCGAGUCCUUGGUAGGGUGUGCCAUGGUAGAUGGUGGUCGAGUUAGAACGAUACCGAUCAUGUGCAUGCUCCCCAAAAUAUGGCCUCUAUGACCCACACGCGUCUUUUGACGCUCAUGACGAGACCUCAGGUCAGGCGGGGCUACCCGCUGAAUUUAAGCAUAUCAAUAAGCGGAGGA
rnacentral:misc_RNA from 1 species